UGCAGUCGAACGAACCUUCGGGUUAGUGGCGGACGGGUGAGUAACGCGUGAGAAUCUGCCCUCAGGAGGGGGAUAACGACUGGAAACGGUCGCUAAUACCCCAUAUGCCGCGAGGUGAAAUGAAUUUCGCCUGAGGAUGAGCUCGCGUCUGAUUAGCUAGUUGGUGGGGUAAAGGCCUACCAAGGCAUCGAUCAGUAGCUGGUCUGAGAGGAUGAUCAGCCACACUGGGACUGAGACACGGCCCAGACUCCUACGGGAGGCAGCAGUGGGGAAUUUUCCGCAAUGGGCGCAAGCCUGACGGAGCAACGCCGCGUGAGGGAUGAAGGCCUCUGGGCUGUAAACCUCUUUUAUCAAGGAAGAAGAUCUGACGGUACUUGAUGAAUAAGCCACGGCUAAUUCCGUGCCAGCAGCCGCGGUAAUACGGGAGUGGCAAGCGUUAUCCGGAAUUAUUGGGCGUAAAGCGUCCGCAGGCGGUCUGUCAAGUCUGCUGUUAAAGCGUGGAGCUUAACUCCAUUUCGGCAGUGGAAACUGACAGACUAGAGUGUGGUAGGGGCAGAGGGAAUUCCCGGUG
rnacentral:rRNA from 1 species